rnacentral:rRNA from 1 species
UGUCCAGACUCCUACGGGAGGCAGCAGUGGGGGAUAUUGGACAAUGGGGGAAACCCUGAUCCAGCGACGCCGCGUGAGUGAAGAAGCAUUUCGGUAUGUAAAGCUCUAUCAGCAGGGAAGAAAGAAAUGACGGUACCUGAGUAAGAAGCCCCGGCUAACUACGUGCCAGCAGCCGCGGUAAUACGUAGGGGGCAAGCGUUAUCCGGAAUUACUGGGUGUAAAGGGAGCGUAGACGGUUAAGCAAGUCUGGAGUGAAAGGCGGGGGCCCAACCCCCGGACUGCUCUGGAAACUGUGUAACUGGAGUGCAGGAGAGGUAAGCGGAAUUCCUAGUGUAGCGGUGAAAUGCGUAGAUAUUAGGAGGAACACCAGUGGCGAAGGCGGCUUACUGGACUGUAACUGACGUUGAGGCUCGAAAGCGUGGGGAGCAAACAGGAUUAGAUACCCUUGUA